rnacentral:rRNA from 1 species
GUCGUCAGCUCGUGUCGUGAGAUGUUGGUUAAGUCCGCAACGAGCGCAACCCCUAUUGUUAGUUGCCAUCAUUCAGUUGGGCACUCUAGCGAGACUGCCGGUAAUAAACCGGAGGAAGGUGGGGAUGACGUCAAAUCAUCAUGCCCCUUAUGACCUGGGCUACACACGUGCUACAAUGGUUGGUACAACGAGUUGCGAGUCGGUGACGGCGAGCUAAUCUCUUAAAGCCAAUCUCAGUUCGGAUUGUAGGCUGCAACUCGCCUACAUGAAGUCGGAAUCGCUAGUAAUCGCGGAUCAGCACGCCCGCGGUCGAAUACGUUCCCGGGCCUU